AACGAACGCUGGCGGCAGGCUUAACACAUGCAAGUCGAGCGCCCCGCAAGGGGAGCGGCAGACGGGUGAGUAACGCGUGGGAACGUACCCUUUGCUACGGAAUAGCUCCGGGAAACUGGAAUUAAUACCGUAUGUGCCCUACGGGGGAAAGAUUUAUCGGCAAAGGAUCGGCCCGCGUUGGAUUAGCUAGUUGGUGGGGUAAUGGCCUACCAAGGCGACGAUCCAUAGCUGGUCUGAGAGGAUGAUCAGCCACAUUGGGACUGAGACACGGCCCAAACUCCUACGGGAGGCAGCAGUGGGGAAUAUUGGACAAUGGGCGCAAGCCUGAUCCAGCCAUGCCGCGUGAGUGAUGAAGGCCUAGGGUUGUAAAGCUCUUUCACCGGAGAAGAUAAUGACGGUAUCCGGAGAAGAAGCCCCGGCUAACUUCGUGCCAGCCGCCGCCGUAAUAC
rnacentral:rRNA from 1 species